rnacentral:misc_RNA from 1 species
GGUUUUUUAGAGGUAUUAUUUUGUUGAGGUUUAUAGGUUGAAUUUAGGUAAAUUAGGGUUGAGAUGUAGGAAGAAUUUUAGGUAGGGAAAAUAGUAUUUUGGAAGGUUAUGUGAUUAGGGAAAUUUAGGAUAUUUAAGAAAUGAAAAAUGUUUUAUGGGAUGGAAGUUAAAGAGUGUAGAGGGUAUUUUAGGUAAAAGAUAUUAGAGAAGAAUGUGAGGAGUAAGUUUGAAGGGAAGUGGUUGUAUUUUUAAUAUGUUGGGAAAAUAUGAGAGUUGUUGGAGUAGGGAGGUGAUAGU